rnacentral:lncRNA from 1 species
AGCCUGAAGCCUGAGGGGAAUGUGACGCCCCGGGUGGACCUUCCUCUGGUUGGGUGCUGACGGCUGCCCGGCCUGGCCCCACCCCACAGUGCACUGUGUGGACAGCGGUAUCACUGGAUAGUCGAGGGAUGAAGGCCACCUGACGCCACUGACCUCCCCAUCUGCAGCAUUAGGUGACUGUGCUGCUGGUGUCCCCAGGUUCCUCAUGGAGCGUGGUGAUGGCUGUCAUCUAUGGAGGACUGGCUCCCACAGGGCCUGGCUCAUUUCUAGCAGCCUGUGACGCGGGGCAGAGUGAGGUGACCUGAGCAGGGUGACGGCACUGGCACCUGGGGUCAGACACUGGAGCCAAGCAGCUCGGCUUCUGCGCCAGGAGGACGCCCGUGAGGCUCUGCCGCCCCGUGGCUCUUCUCAGGGCUCCGCAGGCCGCACUCGCAGGGCGUGCCCUUGGGACCCUGGAAGGAGGUAGGACGGUGACAGUUCCCGGGCUGGGAACGAGGCGGAGCCGCGGAGGCCUGUUCCAGCCGAGCCCGCUGGUCAGGGCAGUGACCCGCCGUGGAGUCCCCUGGGUCCACCCGUCCCCAUCACUGUGUGGCCUUCAGCUUUGCAGAGUGCCCUCAGCCAAGUGGGGCCACCACGCUGGCCUUACCCCAGGGGAGUGGGCAGGGUGCUGAGGCAAGGGGACACUGAGCCCCGUUGGGGUCCUACAGGGUGAGGAAGUGCCAGCGCGCUGGAGAGGACCUCAGCCUGGAGACAUGGCUGUCCUGGCGCAGAGGUCUAUGACACAGAUGGCAGUUUAGACUGUCCUCCGCCUCUCGGUCACCCGGCGGGCGGACCCUCGUCGCUGCCCCUGGGCCAGGCAGACACCGUCUCCCCAAACAGACUUCUUUACUCUUUGUCUACUCGGAACCCAGGCUGAUGGUAACCGCAACUGUCACAAUUACAGCCAAUACGUAUUAAGGGACAAGUGCAGGCACCAUUAAGGGACUUUGUGUGUUUCCACUUGUCAACAAUCCUAGCGACUCGGGAGGGGGCGUGCUCUCAUUCCCUCUGCACCAGGGAGAGGCAGGAGGCAGAAACAGGAGACCCAGGAGUGACGGUCACCCAGGUAAAGGGGGCGGGUGGCCCCACGGCAGGAGAGUUACCUGUGCUCCUGGCUGAGCCACUCCGACCUCUGGGAUCCUGGUCCCCUGCCCCACCCCUGUCCAUCAGCUG